rnacentral:rRNA from 1 species
GAUGAACGCUAGCGGCAGGCUUAACACAUGCAAGUCGAGGGGUAACAGAGGUAGCUUGCUACUUGCUGACGACCGGCGCACGGGUGCGUAACGCGUAUACAAUCUACCUUUUGCUGAGGGAUAGCCCAGAGAAAUUUGGAUUAAUACCUCAUGGUAUGUAUUGAUGGCAUCAUCAUUAUAUUAAAGGUUACGGCAAAAGAUGAGUAUGCGUUCUAUUAGCUAGAUGGUGUGGUAACGGCACACCAUGGCAACGAUAGAUAGGGGCCCUGAGAGGGGGAUCCCCCACACUGGUACUGAGACACGGACCAG